UUAGCGAAGCUCUUGAUCGAAGCCCGAGUAAACGGCGGCCGUAACUAUAACGGUCCUAAGGUAGCGAAAUUCCUUGUCGGUUAAAUACCGACCUGCAUGAAUGGCGUAACGGGAUGGGAGCUGUCUCAAAGAGGGAUCCAGUGAAAUUGUAGUGGAGGUGAAAAUUCCUCCUACCCGCGGCAAGACGGAAAGACCCCGUGGA
rnacentral:rRNA from 1 species